rnacentral:ncRNA from 1 species
AAAGACUUAGUCCUAACCUUACUAUUAAUUUUUGCCAGGCAUAUACAUGCAAGUAUCUGCGUCCCAGUGUAAAUGCCCUCAAUCUCCCAUCAUUCUCGAGAAAGAGGAGCAGGUAUCAGGCACACUAACUUAAACGUAGCCCAAGACACCUUGCUUAGCCACACCCCCACGGGUACUCAGCAGUAAUUAACAUUAAGCAAUAAGUGUAAACUUGACUUAGCCAUGGUAACCAUCUAGGGUUGGUAAAUCUUGUGCCAGCCACCGCGGUCAUACAAGAGACCCAAAUUAAUUGUAUUCGGCGUAAAGAGUGGCAAUAUGCUAUCGUACCAACUAAGAUUAAAGUACAACCGAGCCGUCAUAAGCUCACGAUGUACCUAAAACCAACCUAAAAAUGAUCUCAGCAUUAACGAUCAAUUAUAACCCACGAAAGCUAAGAUACAAACUGGGAUUAGAUACCCCACUAUGCUUAGCCCUAAAUCAAGAUACUUAGCUAACCGAAGUAUCCGCCUGAGAACUACGAGCACAAACGCUUAAAACUCUAAGGACUUGGCGGCACCCCAAACCCACCUAGAGGAGCCUGUCCUAUAAUCGAUAACCCACGAUCCACCCAACCGCUCCUUGCCAAGACAGCCUAUAUACCGCCGUCGCCAGCUCACCUUUCUUGAAAGACCAAUAGUGAGCAAAAUAGCCAUCAACUCCGCUAACAAGACAGGUCAAGGUAUAGCUCAUGGACCGGAAAGAGAUGGGCUACAUUUUCUAAAAUAGAAAACUACGAAAAGGGAUGUGAAAUCUUCCCUAGAAGGCGGAUUUAGCAGUAAAAUAGGAUAAUAAAGCCUGUUUUAAACCGGCCCUGGGGUGUGUACAUACCGCCCGUCACCCUCCUCUACAAGCUAUACCACCCAUAAAUAAUACGCUCAACAGCUAAAGAUGAGGUAAGUCGUAACAAGGUAAGUGUACCGGAAGGUGCACUUAGCAUAC